AUUGAACGCUGGCGGCAUGCUUUACACAUGCAAGUCGAACGGUAACAGGCCUUCGGGCCUUGAGACCGGCGCACGGGUGCGUAACGCGCAUGCAAUCUGCCUUGUACUGGGGGAUAGCCCAGAGAAAUUUGGAUUAAUACCCCAUAGUAUUUUCGGUUGGCAUCAACUGAUUAUUAAAGUUUUUCGGUACAAGAUGAGCAUGCGUACCAUUAGCUAGUUGGUAUGGUAACGGCAUACCAAGGCUACGAUGGGUAGGGGUCCUGAGAGGGCGAUCCCCCUCACGGGUACUGAGACACGGACCAGACUCCUACGGGAGGCAGCAGUGAGGAAGAUUGGUCAAUGGUCGCAAGACUGAACCAGCCAUGCCGCGUGCAGGAUGAAGCAUCUAUGGUGUGUAAACUGCUUUUGUACGGGAAGAAACACUGCUACGUGUAGCAGCUUGACGGUACCGUAAGAAUAAGGAUCGGCUAACUCCGUGCCAGCCGCCGCCGUAACAC
rnacentral:rRNA from 1 species